UUUUCAAAUUGAAACCACAGAUACAAAAUUGACCAAAUUGAAACGACAGGGAUCAAAGUAGUAAAAGUAGCAAAUUACAAGGACCAAAAGUAACUUUUUACCAUAGAAGAAACGUCGUCAGAUCAGUUCUGGUAAUAAACUGCCAUACAACAAACCAAGGAGAGCAACGAAAAAUAAAAUAAAAUAAAAUAAAAAAGAAAGAAAGAAAGAAGCAGAACUAGAGCAAAGUGCUCCACCCAACAAACAUGGAAAUGAACUCCAGCCUCUUUCUUUAUUCAGCAGCGCAGCUCCCUUACUUUCUCUCCUGUUUAUUUUUACCAAAACUUAUACCAUGGCUUCUUGCUCGUUCCUUCUUCUUUCCUCGAGUUGUAGUACUUGUUGCCAAAUUUUCCGAUCCCAACAAACUCCCCCUCGUUUGAAUCAAUCUUGUUGCCAUCAAUAUUGUAGUCAGUUUUGUUUUGACCCUUACCUCCUUGAUGAUGAUCAACAGCACCACCUUCAUGAUAUUCGUUGCUGAAGUCGAAAAUCCCAACGUUUCUGCUUUUUUCUGCUGCGGUAAUUACAUUCUCACGAAUGUUCCAGGUCUGGUUAUUACUAUUUUCUGCCUCACUAGUUCUGUCUUGCGGGAGCUCUGAUUCAGUUUCUUUUUGUGGGGGCACGGUUUCAGUUUCUUUUUGUGGGAGCUCUGUUUGAGUUUCAGAAAGUGUUCUAGAGGAACCAGUAAAGGGUUUUGUUGCCAUCUCCUUGUGCAGGUAUUCAGCUUCAUUUGGAGACCCAUCUUGUUCUUGUAUAGAGCGCAAUUGUUAAACAGGUUCACACCCACAGGGAGAUAAUAGUCAACUCGGGCACAAUGGACCCACGUGCUCUGACAAUUGGUUGCUUUAUCUUUCGGCCAUGUCUAUCUAUUAUCUAAAGAAAAAGAGUUUUGUUUGGCUUCACUUACAAUUAGAAACUGUAGCAACUUUUUGUGGCACACAAGCAGCCAAUUAUCGAUACCUCCAGACAAGGGUUCCAGACGUUGAAAAUGUCUACCGGCCGGCUAUAUCUGAAGCCUCCGCUUGGUGAUCAGAAACAAGGUUCUGAGGAUUCUUCUAAGGCGAACACCGACCAACAAAACAGCAACAGCUCGAAAUCCCCAUCAGUGAGCACCAAAACUCUCCAACCCAAGAAAAAAGACAAGGGCGGAAGAGGCAAUGACUUCAACAUCGUUGGGAAUAAUAUUACGGGGAUAAAAUCGGAGAGAGUAGGAAUUUUUGAGGUUGGCAACACCCACAUCUAUAAAGGCCAAGGGAAAGAGAAACCAGUCGACUCCGGUGCUGAUGAAGACGAAGCAGUGAACUGAUGACUGACUGAGAUCUGUAGCUAGCUAGGGCCUCCCCUCCAUCCAU